rnacentral:rRNA from 1 species
UUGGAGGGCAAGUCUGGUGCCAGCAGCCGCGGUAAUUCCAGCUCCAAUAGCGUAUAUUAAAGUUGUUGCAGUUAAAAAGCUCGUAGUUGAAUUUCGGGAUUGACGUGAUGGUCAUGCCUUAAGGGGUAUGAACUGUUACUGUUGAUUUCUCACCUUCUGGAGAAACUUGAUGUCCUUUAUUGGGUGUCUUGCGGAUCCAGGACCUUUACCUUGAAAAAAUUAGAGUGUUUAAAGCAGGCAUUUUUGCUCGAAUACAUUAGCAUGGAAUAAUAGAAUAGGACGGCAUGGUUCUAUUUUGUUGGUUUCUAGGAUCACCGUAAUGAUUAAUAGGGAUAGUUGGGGGCAUUAGUACUCAAUUGUCAGAGGUGAAAUUCUUGGAUUUAUUGAAGACUAACUACUGCGAAAGCAUUUGCCAAGGAUGUUUUCAUUAAUCAAGAACGAAAGUUAGGGGAUCGAAGACGAUCAGAUACCGUCGUAGUCUUAACCAUAAACUAUGCCGACUAGGAAUCAGACGAUGUUAAUUUUUUAAUGACUCGUUUGGCACCUUACGGGAAACCAAAGUGUUUGGGUUC